UCUAAUUAUUUUCUGAAAAAA
rnacentral:piRNA from 1 species